UCGUCCUGCUCGGUGUACCGACCGCGCGAGAUAAUUUGCAGCUUCCGCAGCAGUGUGGGCAGCAAACCGGUACAGAAAUCCGUUGGAAAGUGGUGCCGCCACCAUCCCCCCCUCCGAGGGGACUGUUCUGUUCUCAGUGUGACACCAAUGGACUGGGACCUCUGGCUUGCAGUGUGAGGUUGCUGCAUCGAUCCGGUGGUGUUGUGGGGUGGGAGCGAUUCCUGGGUUUAUGGUUCUGCAGUUUCAGCUCAGAAUUAAUCGGAUUGCAGUGAAUGGUUACUAGAAGAGUGAUUUAGAGAAAGAAUCUGCCUGAAGUGAUUUUAUGGAAUGUGUUGAAAGAAAUUCAAAUGAUUUGUAGGAUGGAGAUGAAUAGAAAUGUCAGUGAGUGAUGGGGAUUAGAAUAUUCAAAGUGCAUCAACCAUUAUCCGAUUAUCUGUAGUGAAAGUUCGUAGUGACAUAGAAGUGGUGAAUGAGUGAAAUAAAAAGGAAAAUUUAGGAAGAUCUAACUGAACCAGAGCACUUCUGAGGAUUCUAGAAGCUGCAGAUGAAAAACAAUCCACCACAAGGCUACGCCAGCAUGGCUUAAUGUAAUGAACUCGAAAUAGCUGGUGCGUCUGCAGCUAAAUCCUCUCUCUAUUCGUCUAGUGCAGUAGUUCAAACCCAUUUCAGAGCCCUGGCAAAAUCGAGCAUUUAGUCAUCGUUGCGCAACACCUGGACUGAAAAACCACAUCUGCAAAAUGGCUGCCUUCACCGGACUUAAGGAUCGUGCUGCCAACGUUUUCGGCGGAAUGCGCUUCGAGAAGUUCGAAAUGCCGAAGCAGGGCUACGACCAGAUGGGCGGCGGCGGCAUGGUACCUGGUGGCGA